CGGAGGUAGGGUCCAGCG
rnacentral:snRNA from 1 species